rnacentral:rRNA from 1 species
CCCUUAGAUGUUCUGGGCCGCACGCGCGCUACACUGACGAAUGCAACGAGCUUAUAACCUUGGCCGAAAGGUCUGGGUAAUCUCCAAAUUUCGUCGUGAUGGGGAUAGAUUAUUGCAAUUAUUAAUCUUCAACGAGGAAUGCCCAGUAAGCGCAAGUCAUCAGCUUGCGUUGAUUACGUCCCUGCCCUUUGUACACACCGCCCGUCGCUCCUACCGAUUGAAUGGUCCGGUGAAGCGUUCGGACCGUGGCCUUUGGACGGUUCGCCGUCUGUUGGCUGCGGGAAGUUCGUUAAACCUUAUCAUUUAGAGGAAGGAGAANUCGUANCA